rnacentral:rRNA from 1 species
AGUGAACGCUGGCGGUAGGCCUAACACAUGCAAGUCGAACGGCAGCACAGUAAGAGCUUGCUCCUACGGGUGGCGAGUGGCGGACGGGUGAGGAAUACAUCGGAAUCUACUUUUUCGUGGGGGAUAACGUAGGGAAACUUACGCUAAUACCGCAUACGACCUACGGGUGAAAGCAGGGGAUCUUCGGACCUUGCGCGAUUGAAUGAGCCGAUGUCGGAUUAGCUAGUUGGCGGGGUAAAGGCCCACCAAGGCGACGAUCCGUAGCUGGUCUGAGCGGAGAAGCAGCCACACUGGAACGGAGACACGGUCCAGACCCCUACGGGAGGAACAAGGGGGGAAUAUUGGACAAUGGGAGCAAGCCUGAUCCAGCCAUACCGCGUGGGUGAAGAAGGCCUUCGGGUUGUAAAGCCCUUUUGUUGGGAAAGAAAAGCAGCAGGUUAAUACCCCGCUGUUCUGACGGUACCCAAAGAAUAAGCACCGGCUAACUUCGUG